AUUGAACGCUGGCGGCAUGCCUUACACAUGCAAGUCGAACGGUAACAGGUCUUCGGACGCUGACGAGUGGCGAACGGGUGAGUAAUACAUCGGAACGUGCCCAGUCGUGGGGGAUAACUACUCGAAAGAGUAGCAAAUACCGCAUACGAUCUGAGGAUGAAAUCGGGGGACCUUCGGGCCUCGCGCGAUUGGAGCGGCGGAUGGCAGAUUAGGUAGUGGGUGGGAUAAAAGCUUACCAAGCCGACGAUCUGUAGCUGUUCUGAGAGGACGACCAGCCACACUGGGACUGAGACACGGCCCAGACUCCUACGGGAGGCAGCAGUGGGGAAUUUUGGACAAUGGGCGAAAGCCUGAUCCAGCAAUGCCGCGUGCAGGAUGAAGGCCUUCGGGUUGUAAACUGCUUUUGUACGGAACGAAAAAGCUUCUCCUAAUACGAGAGGCCCAUGACGGUACCGUAAGAAUAAGCACCGGCUAACUACGUGCCAGCCGCCGCAGUAACAC
rnacentral:rRNA from 1 species